AAAGAUAAAAAACACAACACUAAAACAAAAAACAAAUUCUGGUGCACUGGAAGAACUUGGAGACGAUUCUUAGAUGGUUCUCUUUUACGCACCUCUUUUUGUGCAUGGCGACCAAACUCAACGGAAAGUACAAGAAGACAGGAAAGAGUAAGGGAGACCCCACCAAAC